UCGGAAGUUUGAAGUCAGAGCGGCCCGGCGCCGUAUUUGCCCCUACCCGAGCUCUGCACGAUGGACUGUGUCAUCCGCCACCCCCAGAGGGUUAAAGUGCCGGCCACCGUUGGUUCCGGAGUGAUUCAACUAGCUCCUUGGAAUCCAGGGUUCUGCAUCCUCUCGCGGGCUUCCGGCAGAUGGCGCUGCACCGCUGCUGUACAGGGCCUGGGCCUGGAGGUUAGCUGCUGAGCUGCCUCCUCUGGAGUCUCCCUUGCCUGGGGUGACUCUCACUUCACCACAGUUCAAGCUGACCCCAAAUACUGCCGUGGGGAUUAGGAGAUGAAUCCUUUGUGAUUUCCGGAGUGGAGUACAUGGAAAGAAUAGGUGCUAAAGGUGUGUCGGGAGAAAGGAAAAGGAAAAUGCUGGAAGGCAGUGGGAGAUGGAGUGUUCUGAAACCUUCUGGUUGGGAUCAGGCUUUCAUGACAGUAAAGCUCAAUAUGGCUCCUUACCAACUGGAUUUUUAACCUCCCUGUUUCCGCAUCUGUAACAUGGGGUCAAUAAGAGUGUACACCUCAGGUGGUGGUUGAAAUAGUCACAUUAAAUGUUUUCAGAGCUACA